UCGAGAAUCUUUCGCAAUGCCCGAAAGGGUGACGAAGCGACGCCGCGUGUGGGAAGAAGGCCUUCGGGUUGUAAACCACUGUCGGGAGUUAKGAAAUGUAAGGGUGUUAAUAGCAUCC
rnacentral:rRNA from 1 species